GUGUAGAUCCUAUCUCCCCACCUGUGGUUCAGGGCUCCACGCUACCAAAGAAAUAGUAACAAGAAAAAAAAAAAAAUGACCAGCGUUGACUCAGGCUCCUUCUGUUACACUCCUCCCCUUUUUACUUGCGUUGGUGACUUGGACUUUAUCUCCAUGAUGUUUUUGUUUGCAACACUGAAGGAUGAGCUGGAUUGAGGGGAUGGUGCUGUCCUUUACCAAGCUGCCCCAGCCGAGGAUCGUGUUGCAGGCUUUCAAAGAUGACCGUUGCUGCUAGCCCCACUCCCUGCAUCCCUGCUUGGGAGGACUGCUGCCCAGUGGUGAAGAGCC